ACCUAAUUCCUCCUCAAUAAUUUUCAUAGCAAUAGACCUUGGAAAAGGAGGGAUUUGCUCAUUCAGCUCAGAGAGUGCCUGCAAUGACAUGAUAAUAAGGUAUAUAGAAAAGGAUUCUCUUUAGCAUAGUAGUGUGCAUGAAACUCUCAUUUAGGAGAAUAAUAUGAACAUAUAGCAUCACAUCAUACAUGUAUGUACACACAAGAAUCUACUAAAGGCAUAAAGGUAAAUAUGCAACUUAUCCAACUUAAAUUUCUGAAAUAUGAAUACAUUUUUUCCUUUUUUUAAUGCCCAAUAAGGAGGGAUUUGCUCAUUCAGCUCAGAGAGUGCCUGCAAUGACAUGAUAAUAAGGUAUAUAGAAAAGGAUUCUCUUUAGCAUAGUAGUGUGCAUGAAACUCUCAUUUAGGAGAAUAAUAUGAACAUAUAGCAUCACAUCAUACAUGUAUGUACACACAAGAAUCUACUAAAGGCAUAAAGGUAAAUAUGCAACUUAUCCAACUUAAAUUUCUGAAAUAUGAAUACAUUUUUUCCUUUUUUUAAUGCCCAAUAAGGAGGGAUUUGCUCAUUCAGCUCAGAGAGUGCCUGCAAUGACAUGAUAAUAAGGUAUAUAGAAAAGGAUUCUCUUUAGCAUAGUAGUGUGCAUGAAACUCUCAUUUAGGAGAAUAAUAUGAACAUAUAGCAUCACAUCAUACAUGUAUGUACACACAAGAAUCUACUAAAGGCAUAAAGGUAAAUAUGCAACUUAUCCAACUUAAAUUUCUGAAAUAUGAAUACAUUUUUUCCUUUUUUUAAUGCCCAAUAAGGAGGGAUUUGCUCAUUCAGCUCAGAGAGUGCCUGCAAUGACAUGAUAAUAAGGUAUAUAGAAAAGGAUUCUCUUUAGCAUAGUAGUGUGCAUGAAACUCUCAUUUAGGAGAAUAAUAUGAACAUAUAGCAUCACAUCAUACAUGUAUGUACACACAAGAAUCUACUAAAGGCAUAAAGGUAAAUAUGCAACUUAUCCAACUUAAAUUUCUGAAAUAUGAAUACAUUUUUUCCUUUUUUUAAUGCCCAAUAAGGAGGGCAAACUAUACAGAAUGUACAAUGUUAACAGAACAAAAUGAAAAGUUAGAACCAUUUGCCAUGAAAGGUGAAAAUAAAUAGAGCUUAAAUGAAUGACGAACAAAAGGGUGAAAUAAAUGAGAACCUUGAAUCCAUACUCUGCCAUGACCCACAAGAAAAGCUCUAAGAGUUAUGCAAAUUAACAACUUGAAUUUCAUAAAAUUCUGAAUGUCAUGAGCAUCUCAUGUUAACAUAAAGGAAGACAGAAAACUACCUUUUAUCUCACCUUG
rnacentral:lncRNA from 1 species